rnacentral:rRNA from 1 species
AACCUACCUUUCACAGAGGAAUAGCCCCGAGAAAUCGGGAUUAAUACUUCAUAACAUCACGAGAUGGCAUCGUUUUGUGAUCAAAGCUCCGGCGGUGACAGAUGGGCAUGCGUGACAUUAGCUAGUUGGUGAGGUAACGGCUCACCAAGGCUUCGAUGUCUAGGGGUUCUGAGAGGACAUUCCCCCACACUGGUACUGAGACACGGACCAGACUCCUACGGGAGGCAGCAGUAAGGAAUAUUGGGCAAUGGACGCAAGUCUGACCCAGCCAUGCCGCGUGCAGGAUGACGGCCCUACGGGUUGUAAACUGCUUUUGUACGGGAAAAAACCCCUGGUCGUGAAUCAGGGCUGAUGGUACCGUAAGGAUAAGCAUCGGCUAACUCCGUGCCAGCAGCCGCGGUAAUACGGAGGAUGCAAGCGUUAUCCGGAUUUAUUGGGUUUAAAGGGUCCGCAGGCGGGAUAAUAAGU